ACUCAAAGGAAUUGACGGGGGCCCGCACAAGCGGUGGAGUAUGUGGUUUAAUUCGACGCAACGCGAAGAACCUUACCAGACCUUGACAUGGGAACUAUGAGCUACAGAGAUGUAGUUCUUCACUUCGGGUGGGUUCCACACAGGUGCUGCAUGGCUGUCGUCAGCUCGUGUCGUGAGAUGUUGGGUUAAGUCCCGCAACGAGCGCAACCCUCAUCUUCAGUUGCCACCAGGUCAAGCUGGGCACUCUGAAGAAACCGCCGGUGACAAGCCGGAGGAAGGCGGGGAUGACGUCAAGUCCUCAUGGCCCUUACGGUCUGGGCUACACACGUACUACAAUGGUGGUGACAGUGGGCUGCGAAGUCGCAAGAUGGAGCCAAUCCCCAAAAGCCAUCUCAGUUCAGAUUGCACUCUGCAACUCGAGUGCAUGAAGUUGGAAUCGCUAGUAAUCGCAGAUCAGCACGCUGCGGUGAAUACGUUCCCGGGCCUUGUACACACCGCCCGU
rnacentral:rRNA from 1 species